rnacentral:misc_RNA from 1 species
GAUGAAGAACGCAGCGAAAUGCUAUAAGUAAUGUGAAUUGCAGAAUUCAGUGAAUCAUCGAAUCUUUGAACGCACCUUGCGCCCUUUGGCCAUUCCGAAGGGCAUGCCUGUUUGAGUAUCAUGAACACCUCAACUCUUCAUGGUUUUCCAUGAUGAGCUUGGACUUUGGGGGUCUUGCUGGCCUGUGGGUCGGCUCCUCUCAAAUGAAUCAGCUUGCCGGUUUUUGGUGGGCAUCACAGGUGUGAUAACUAUCUACGCUUGUGGUUUUCCACCAGGGUAACCUUCAGCAGUGGAGGUUCACUGGAGCUUACAAAUGUCUCUCCUCUGUGAGGACAGCCCUUUGAAUGUUUGAUCUCAAAUCAGGUAGGACUACCCGCUGAACUUAAGCAUAUCAAUAAGCGGAGGA